UAAAAGGUCCUUUUAAGGGCCACACAAAUAUUAAAAAAAGAAUCUG
rnacentral:ncRNA from 1 species